CGAACGCUGGCGGCGUGCUUAACACAUGCAAGUCGAGCGGUAAGGCCCUUUCGGGGGUACGACGAGCGGCGAACGGGUGAGUAACACGUGGGUGACCUGCCCUCAGCUCUGGGAUAAGCCUGGGAAACCGGGUCUAAUACCGGAUAUGACUCCAUGACGCAUGUUGUGGGGUGGAAAGCCUUGUGCGGCUGAGGAUGGGCCCGCGGCCUAUCAGCUUGUUGGUGGGGUGAUGGCCUACCAAGGCGACGACGGGUAGCCGGCCUGAGAGGGCGACCGGCCACACUGGGACUGAGACACGGCCCAGACUCCUACGGGAGGCAGCAGUGGGGAAUCUUGCGCAAUGGGCGAAAGCCUGACGCAGCGACGCCGCGUGAGGGAUGACGGCCU
rnacentral:rRNA from 1 species